rnacentral:miRNA from 1 species
AGACUUUUUUAAAUGUUUAUUUCAUUAACAAACGACGUUUCGGAGAUUUACUCCAUCUUCAGGUAGGAUUACAAUUUGAAUUUAAAUUCAAAUUGUAAUCCUACCUGAAGAUGGAGUAAAUCUCCGAAACGU